UUCUCGGUAGUAUAGUGGUUAGUAUGCAGGCUUGUCAAGUCUUCGGACAAGAUUCGCCUGAGACCCGGGUUCAAUUCCCGGCCGGGAAG
rnacentral:tRNA from 1 species